CCCUGCAACUCACAACUGGCAACCCACUGAAGCUAAGCAGGUGUGAGCCUGGUCAGUACCUGGAUGGGAGACCUCCUGGGAAAGACUAAGGUUGCUGCUGGAA
rnacentral:rRNA from 1 species